rnacentral:rRNA from 1 species
CCUACGGGAGGCAGCAGUGGGGAAUCUUGCACAAUGGAGGAAACUCUGAUGCAGCGAUGCCGCGUGAGUGAAGAAGGCCUUUGGGUUGUAAAGCUCUUUUGUAGGGGAAGAUAAUGACUGUACCCUAAGAAUAAGGUCCGGCUAACUUCGUGCCAGCAGCCGCGGUAAUACGAAGGGACCUAGCGUAGUUCGGAAUUACUGGGCGUAAAGCGCGCGUAGGCCGUUGAGUUAGUUAAUUGUGAAAUCCCAAAGCUUAACUUUGGAACUGCAAUUAAAACUGCUCGACUAGAGUUUGAUAGAGGAAAGCGGAAUACAUAGUGUAGAGGUGAAAUUCGUAGAUAUUAUGUAGAACACCAGUUGCGAAGGCGGCUUUCUGGAUCAACACUGACGCUGAGGCGCGAAAGUAUGGGUAGCAAAGAGGAUUAGAUACCCUCGUAGUCCAUACCAUAAACGAUGAUUGCUAGAUGUUGGAAAUUUAUUUUCAGUAUCGCAGCUAACGCAUUAAGCAAUCCGCCUGGGGAGUACGACCGCAAGGUUAAAACUCAAAGGAAUUAGACGNNGAGAGUGACCGAGCACACGAGGUAGAG